AUUGAACGCUGGCGGCAGGCCUAACACAUGCAAGUCGAGCGGAUGAAGGGAGCUUGCUCCUGGAUUCAGCGGCGGACGGGUGAGUAAUGCCUAGGAAUCUGCCUGGUAGUGGGGGAUAACGUCCGGAAACGGGCGCUAAUACCGCAUACGUCCUGAGGGAGAAAGUGGGGGAUCUUCGGACCUCACGCUAUCAGAUGAGCCUAGGUCGGAUUAGCUAGUUGGUGGGGUAAAGGCCUACCAAGGCGACGAUCCGUAACUGGUCUGAGAGGAUGAUCAGUUACACUGGAACUGAGACACGGUCCAGACUCCUACGGGAGGCAACAGUGGGGAAUAUUGGACGAUGGGCGAAAGCCUGAUCCAACCAUGCCACGUGUGUGAAGAAGGUCUUCGGAUUGUAAAGCACUUUAAGUUGGGAGGAAGGGCAGUAAGUUAAUACCUUGCUAUUUUGACGUUACCAACAGAAUAAGCACCGGCUAACUUCGUG
rnacentral:rRNA from 1 species